rfam:Canis lupus familiaris chromosome X, whole genome shotgun sequence.
AGCUUUGCGCAGUGGCAGUAUCGUAGCCAAUGAGGUUUAUCCGAGGCGCGAUUAUUGCUAAUUCAAAAUAAAAUUCAGAGAAAAGGGAGUAUGUUUAAUACACUAAGAAGAGAUUUAUGUAACUCUCAUUACUAGGAGA